AUUGAACGCUGGCGGCAUGCUUUACACAUGCAAGUCGAACGGCAGCGGGGAGGAGCUUGCUUCUCUGCCGGCGAGUGGCGAACGGGUGAGUAAUACAUCGGAACGUGUCGAGAAGAGGGGGAUAACCACCCGAAAGGGUGGCUAAUACCGCAUAAAUUCUGAGGCAGAAAGCUGGGGACCUAGGAAUAGGCCUAGCGCUUUUUGAGCGGCCGAUGUCGGAUUAGCUAGUUGGUGAGGUAAAGGCUCACCAAGGCGAAGAUCUGUAGCGGGUCUGAGAGGAUGAUCCGCCACACUGGGACUGAGACACGGCCCAGACUCCUACGGGAGGCAGCAGUGGGGAAUUUUGGACAAUGGGGGCAACCCUGAUCCAGCCAUGCCGCGUGUAUGAAGAAGGCCUUAGGGUUGUAAAGUACUUUUGUUAGGGAAGAAAAGUCAGCUGUGAAUAAUGGCUGAUACUGACGGUACCUAAAGAAUAAGCACCGGCUAACUACGUG
rnacentral:rRNA from 1 species